rnacentral:rRNA from 1 species
CCUACGGGAGGCAGCAGUGAGGAAUAUUGGUCAAUGGACGAGAGUCUGAACCAGCCAAGUAGCGUGAAGGAUGACUGCCCUAUGGGUUGUAAACUUCUUUUAUAUGGGAAUAAAAUGUUCCACGUGUGGGAUUUUGUAUGUACCAUAUGAAUAAGGAUCGGCUAACUCCGUGCCAGCAGCCGCGGUAAUACGGAGGAUCCGAGCGUUAUCCGGAUUUAUUGGGUUUAAAGGGAGCGUAGGUGGAUUGUUAAGUCAGUUGUGAAAGUUUGCGGCGCAACCGUAAAAUUGCAGUUGAAACUGGCAGUCUUGAGUACAGUAGAGGUGGGCGGAAUUCGUGGUGUAGCGGUGAAAUGCUUAGAUAUCACGAAGAACUCCGAUUGCGAAGGCAGUUCACUGGACUGCAACUGACGCUGAGGCUCGAAAGUGUGGGUAUCAAACAGGAUUAGAUACCCGAGUAGUC